AGCCUUAUAUGUCCGUGCUGAGAUUUCGUCGGAAACCAAACCAUCAGUACUGUGAGGCUCUCCAGAUAAAUGGAGCA
rfam:Schistosoma mattheei strain Denwood, Zambia genome assembly, scaffold: SMTD_scaffold0002591